UAGUAGAUGUGUAAUCAAGUAUCCACUGCUUAGCCUAUUACUUCUGAACGUUCCUUUUGGCAUGCAUGUCUCUACAGGUCAAUGAUGGAAGGGAAACUCAAUUUAUAAAACCACCUCCUACGGUUGGUUCAUCCGGUGAUAGCAUUUUGCUGAUUGUUGCCCACUGUUUUCACUCUGUAUUUGAGGGCAUUGCAAUUGGAGUUGCAGAUCUUUGAUGCUUUAAGGACAAUGAUGUUAAUGUUUCUCCUGGGCAUGAGGUGUAUUCAUAGGCAUUUCCUUGCUAGCACUUGAUGACUGGACAGUACACCAAAAUUGUAAAUUUGGAACUUGAGCAAAUUAAGAAUGAGGUGUUUUACUUGUUUCCUCAUCCCUCAAUGUGGCCAGUACUUCUUGAAGACAUACAGGUGCAAGAUCGGUCUCAGAUGCAAGUUCAACCAUCCAAAAGAUGAAGUUCUAAAUGCAUCUUUAGGUAGUACUUAUGCAGAAGUUAUUGGAUCCACUUCAUUCUUGCCCCUAUGAGAAUUUUGACACUUCCACUAAUAUAUGUCAUGCGAUAGCAGGUUGCAUCAGAAACUGCUGAUGCUUCAGAAGUUCUAAAUCUGUUGAUUUCAAAUUUAUUUUUCUUUUGGCAAUAAAAUACAGGUGGGGUGAUUCCACUGGUUUCAUUAAAAAAAAAGAGUUACUGAAAUUGGUUUAGUCUAUAUGCAUGUUCUGCUUUUUAGUCACUUGGUGAGAUGUUUCUUCUUGAUAGUUGGCUUGAGGCCACUGAUGAACAACUUAGUUACAUGCAAUUCACACAAAACUUUCAUACAAGGUAUUGUUCUUUGUGCUUCUAUAAUUUCAUUCUGGUUUACUUCCAUCUUUUAUUUCAUUUACUGUUGGAACAUGCCUUGAGGAAUCAGACACCAUACUUGCCAUGUUUAUGAAUUGCCUUGUAAUAUGGACCAUUCACCAUGCAGUGCUCAUCAUAGAUGAAAGUUUCAAGAUUGAUGAAAUGUUGAAAUCCUUGCUUGGGUUGUCAGGAUUUUACUUCAAUUUGGGGAUUUUGUACUUCAAGUGCUUAUUUGGAUGCAGCAUUGCAACAAUACCACUUUGAAGUUUGCAUCUUCAAGAAGGCAUAUGCAUCUUCAUAGUUCCAUGCCAAUACAAUUCUUGGGUAGUUUUUCAUAGUCUACGGAAUUGAGUAUUUACUGAUCUGUUUUUUUGUUAAAUUUCUGAAAUCAUUUGAUUGCAAGGAGACAAUCUACUGAUACAUGUUUGCGAGAGGAUUUGGAGAAAGUAGUCCAAUAAUAUCCUUUUUUUUUUUUUACUUUUUUUCUUUUUAUUUAAAAAAUGUUGGGCCUUGAAAGCUUGGGAUCUUUCUGUAUUUGUUUAUUUAGGAUAAUUUUUUGCAAUUCCAUGUCAUAUUAUACCAUGCUAAACUGAAUUAUUUUGUUUUAGUUGUGACAAUUCAAUUUCAGCUUUAUUCUAAAUCAUCGCUUUUCUUGGCAGGGAAGUACAAACUUAAGAGGCCAUCCAAAUCAUUAAGAAAGCUAGAGGAUCCUUGAAGGAUCAGUUUUUAGAUGAAGAUGGGAAAUACUGCCUAGCAGACGAUACCUUACCAGAUGGAUUCGAAGUUAGAAAAGGGGACAUGGUGGCAUACCCACCUUAUGCCAUGGGCAGGAUGAAGUUCAUAUGGGGUGACAAUGCAGAGGUUUUCUGCCCAGAAGUUAAAAUUGGAGUCUUGGUGUCUUUGUUUAUCUAAAACAUAUCAUUUGCAUAGAUUGGAUUUAUUUUUGUGUACUGUAGCAACCAAACAGUUGUCAUUUGUAUAAGCUAUGCAUCCACCAUCCAUUUAAGAAUUCUUGUGUGUUUGCCAAGUAAGAACAGAAACAGUUGUAGAAACUCACAUCAUUAACAGCCAUCCUUAGUAGCCUCACUACCAUUCCUUUUUUGUCCCUUUGCUGCCUUUUGUUUUGUGGUCAUGCAGGGUAGGGUGACAAGAGGUAUAUAGUGUGAGUUUCAGACUGAAAACUGAUACAAAUCUCUUUGAGAUUGCAAAGUGCAAGACACGUGUCUGCAAUUGAGGUAUAUAGUGUACAAAUUUCUUGAAUUUUACUCCUUUGUUUUAUUUAGGAAUUUAAAUUCACUUCUUCUCGUAUCCAGUUCUUCUUUUAUGGUUUCAGAUCCUUCCACAUGAUUGUAGAGAAUGGACAGUCAUGAUCUAUCCAUGUUCAUAGGGAAGUUUCUUCUCAUCUGGUUUGUAAUUGUAUGAUUCUUAAUCCCAAACCAUAUAUUUUACCAAUUCAAAUUGACAAAUUGUGCAAUUUAUGAAAAAAAAAACUUUUAGGAGCUGCUUUUUCUUUUAGCGAAACUUGCAACGUGAUUCUAGUUGUAAUAUACAUUGCUAUCGUGUGCUCUGCAAAUUUUAGAUGAUUUUUCUUUCAUAGUUAGAUUUUAAAACUUUAUUCAUUUCACAACUGCUUUGCAAGAUCAUUUGAGUCCAACAAACUGGUUCUUACUGUUCAAGUUUCACCUUCUGCAAACAAAUCAGUUGGAUGUUCAGCUGAAAGCAGUGCAGUUGCUUGGUGACUUGUUUGCUUUACCUGACUGCAUUAUUACAGAAACAUUUAAGCUACUUUUUUCAUUUUUUAUAUUAAGUUCCCUUUUCUUCAACGACAUGCGAAGAGUUUCAUGCUGUUAGAAUUCUUAAUCCGGCAUCGUUCAUUAGGAUGUGGCAUUGAUGUGGUCUCUAUAACAGGCUGUAGUUUGGUUCAUGGAAUAUAUGGUCAUGCAUCAGCAUGGUUGCAGAAUGGUAGUGGUUCAUGCAAAAUCGUUCAUCCCCAAACCUCAUCUCUCUCUCUCUUCUAGAAAGCAACACAGGUACCCUCUUUCUCUCUCUAUGUAAGAUCUAAGGUUCUAAAUCAGACAUUUCUCAUUUCUCAAAGCUUUCUAGAUCUAGGGUUU